CAUUUAGGACACAACAGAUUCUUGGUGGUGUCCUGCUUGAUUGCUGAAGCAUUAAUUGAUAAGCUGCAGCAUGAGUCUACGUCACGCCACUUAUCUUUAAAGAAAACCCGUCCCAUUAUCUUGUGUAUUGCAAACUACACAGGGGGACUCCGUGUGAUCAGGCUGUCAUUUCCUUUGGUCGGCUCUGUUAUUCCAGAAAGCCUUUGUGGAGCAGCCAAGUGGUCCAGCCGCAGACAGAAGGUGGGCUCCAUGGCAUGCAUCUGAGGUUGUCAGCCCGGCAGGGGAGGGAGUCGCUCCUGGUCGGCCAAGACAAGGAGAAAACAAACACGAUCCCUGAACAGGAGACUGACAGUAGAUCCCCCAUGAUAAAUACAGUCAUACAGUAAAUCAGAAAUGAUUUAUUCUCUUGGUAGCACGAUGGAAUGAUAAUUGAGCAGACUGAAGCAGCAAUAUAUGUACACAAGGAGUUUACAUAGAAAAUGAAUAAAAAUAAAAACCAGCCUUAAAUGUGA